CAGCCGCCGCGGGAAUACGAGGGGGGCAAGCGUUGUUCGGAAUUAUUGGGCGUAAAGGGCGCGUAGGCGGUUUGACAAGUUUGGUGUGAAAUCUAUGGGCUCAACCCAUAGCCUGCAUCGAAAACUGUCGGGCUUGAGUAUGGGAGAGGUGAGUGGAAUUCCCAGUGUAGCGGUGAAAUGCGUAGAUAUCGGAAGGAACACCUGUGGCGAAAGCGGCUCACUGGACCAUUUCUGACGCUGAUGCACGAAAGCUAGGGGAGCAAACAGGAUUAGAUACCCCCGUAGUCCCUGUCUCUUAUAC
rnacentral:rRNA from 1 species